GCCUACUUUCUGCAGCCCUGAGGAAUAUUGGUCAAUGGGCGAGAUCCUGAACCCUCCCCUUCUCUUUCCUUCUUCCUUCCCUACGUGUUGUAAACUUCUUUUGUCAGGGAGCAAUUGGGUCCACGCGUGGGCUUAGCGAGAGUACCUGAAGAAAAAGCAUCGGCUAACUCCGUGCCAGCAGCCGCGGUAAUACGGAGGAUGCGAGCGUUAUCCGGAUUUAUUGGGUUUAAAGGGUGCGUAGGCGGAAUAUCAAGUCAGCGGUAAAAAUUCGGGGCUCAACCCCGUCGUGCCGUUGAAACUGAUGU
rnacentral:rRNA from 1 species